rnacentral:snRNA from 1 species
GUGCUCACUUUAGCAGCACAUAUACUAAAACUGGAAUGAUACAGAGAAGAUUAGCAUGGUCCUUGUGCAAGGAGGACAUGCAAAUUCGUGAAGCAUCCCACAUUUUU